GAGCCCUACGGGAGGCAGCAGUAGGGAAUUUUCGUCAAUGGGCGCAAGCCUGAAUGAGCAAUGCCGCGUGAACGAGGAAGGUCUUCGGAUCGUAAAGUUCUGUUGAAGGGGAAAAGGAGCGGAGAGAGGAAAUGAACUCCGAUUGAUAUUACCCUUCGAGGAAGUCACGGCUAACUACGUGCCAGCAGCCGCGGUAAUACGUAGGUGGCGAGCGUUAUCCGGAAUGAUUGGGCGUAAAGGGUGCGUAGGCGGCCUGCUAAGUCUGGAGUGAAAGGUACCGGCACAACCGGUACAGGCUCUGGAAA
rnacentral:rRNA from 1 species